AGGCCAGUGGAGCCAAUGCUGCAGAAGAAGAUGAAUCUGAGAAAUCAAUGUCUGAGGUGAAUGAUGAUGAGGAUGGAGAUGAGGGCAGCGAAGAGGUUAGCUUUCUUAAGGAGUUUAGUUAAAUUAAACAUCUUAAAGUUGGAACUGUUUUUUCAUUUCAUUUUUCCCCCUCCAAUUUUGCAGGACGAUGACGAGUGAAGAUGUAGAUGAUAGUAACGUCAUUUAGGGUGUCAGUGUAUUUGAUCUUUCCAUAAUAAUGGUUUGAUCAUUUCCUGUUAUUUUGUUUUUUAUAUCAUGAAAAUAUGUUAGUAUCUCCCUGUUAUUUUGUUUUUCAUAUCAUGAAAAUAUGUUAGUAUCUCCCUGUUAUUUUGUUUGUGCAUUCAGUAACGAAGGGUUGUAAUGGGAGAUCAUCUGCCUUGUACCUUACAAUGUUAGUUAUUCCAAUCCAA
rnacentral:lncRNA from 1 species